UUCGGGGUACUCGAGUGGCGAACGGGUGAGUAACACGUGGGUGAUCUGCCCUGCACUUUGGGAUAAGCCUGGGAAACUGGGUCUAAUACCGAAUAGGACCACGCGCUUCAUGGUGUGUGGUGGAAAGCUUUUGCGGUGUGGGAUGGGCCCGCGGCCUAUCAGCUUGUUGGUGGGGUAAUGGCCUACCAAGGCGACGACGGGUAGCCGGCCUGAGAGGGUGACCGGCCACACUGGGACUGAGAUACGGCCCAGACUCCUACGGGAGGCAGCAGUGGGGAAUAUUGCACAAUGGGCGCAAGCCUGAUGCAGCGACGCCGCGUGAGGGAUGACGGCCUUCGGGUUGUAAACCUCUUUCAAUAGGGACGAAGCGCAAGUGACGGUACCUAUAGAAGAAGCACCGGCCAACUACGUGCCAGCAGCCGCGGUAAUACGUAGGGUGCGAGCGUUGUCCGGAAUUACUGGGCGUAAAGAGCUCGUAGGUGGUUUGUCGCGUUGUUCGUGAAAACUCACAGCUUAACUGUGGGCGUGCGGGCGAUACGGGCAGACUAGAGUACUGCAGGGGAGACUGGAAUUCCUGGUGUAGCGGUGGAAUGCGCAGAUAUCAGGAGGAACACCGGUGGCGAAGGCGGGUCUCUGGGCAGUAACUGACGCUGAGGAGCGAAAGCGUGGGGAGCGAACAGGAUUAGAUACCCUGGUAGUCCACGCCGUAAACGGUGGGUACUAGGUGUGGGUUCCUUCCUUGGGAUCCGUGCCGUAGCUAACGCAUUAAGUACCCCGCCUGGGGAGUACGGCCGCAAGGCUAAAACUCAAAGGAAUUGACGGGGGCCCGCACAAGCGGCGGAGCAUGUGGAUUAAUUCGAUGCAACGCGAAGAACCUUACCUGGGUUUGACAUGCACAGGACGCCGGCAGAGAUGUCGGUUCCCUUGUGGCCUGUGUGCAGGUGGUGCAUGGCUGUCGUCAGCUCGUGUCGUGAGAUGUUGGGUUAAGUCCCGCAACGAGCGCAACCCUUGUCCUAUGUUGCCAGCGGGUUAUGCCGGGGACUCGUAGGAGACUGCCGGGGUCAACUCGGAGGAAGGUGGGGAUGACGUCAAGUCAUCAUGCCCCUUAUGUCCAGGGCUUCACACAUGCUACAAUGGCCGGUACAAAGGGCUGCGAUGCCGUGAGGUGGAGCGAAWYCUUUCAAAGCCGGUCUCAGUUCGGRUCSGGGUCUGCAACUCGACCCCGUGAAGUCGGAGUCGCUAGUAAUCGCAGAAUCAGCAACGCUGCGGUGAAUACGUUCCCGGGCCUUGUACACACCGCCCGUCACGUCAUGAAAGKCGGUAACACCCGAAGCC
rnacentral:rRNA from 1 species